AGACGGUACCUAACCAGAAAGCCACGGCUAACUACGUGCCAGCAGCCGCGGUAAUACGUAGGUGGCAAGCGUUGUCCGGAAUUAUUGGGCGUAAAGCGCGCGCAGGUGGUUUAAUAAGUCUGAUGUGAAAGCCCACGGCUCAACCGUGGAGGGUCAUUGGAAACUGUUAAACUUGAGUGCAGGAGAGAAAAGUGGAAUUCCUAGUGUAGCGGUGAAAUGCGUAGAGAUUAGGAGGAACACCAGUGGCGAAGGCGGCUUUUUGGCCUGUAACUGACACUGAGGCGCGAAAGCGUGGGGAGCAAACAGGAUUAGAUACCCUG
rnacentral:rRNA from 1 species